GUGGCGCUCGAUUAAAAAACAACCAUAGUUGUCUGCGAAGGAAGAAUAAAAAAUUAGUUUUGCCUGUUUUUAUAGAAAUGUUUUACUGCUGGCAGUGACCAUUAUUUCAUUAAACAUCAGAACGAUAUGAAUCAGAAGAGAACACAAGGAUGUAAAUCUAUAUCACAGAUCGCCGCAAGUUCUUAGCUCAUUUAUCCUUCCUAAUAACAAUAAACACUAAAAGCUGUUGCGCAGAGUAAAUUCAAAGUUUCGACGAUUUGGAUAAGUUAGGGCUGCGUUCCUGUCUGAACACGCUGUCCUUCGUAGCGUCAUUUUGGAGGAAGUACUAGUUCCUAAUACUAGUCGAGUUCUUUUUAAAGCCAUGACCACAUUGAUCAAAAUUACACAACACGUUUAAAGAAGCACCUACUGAUGACGUUCUCUGAUACAAUUUUGUCUUUAUAUUUGCGUCGGCCAUCGGCAUUUGCAGUAUUCUGGUAUUACCCUUUAUUGAGAUAUCGGAACUAAGGUUGUACAACUGUCGAUAUGGGUGAUCGAGGAUGUUGGUGUGAUAAUGGAGGCACUUGCUCCUCGUCCGGACUUUGUAUUUGUCCCACGGGAUUUAAAGGAACCACUUGUCAGUUUCACGAAGAUGCUUCCAAUAGCGCAGUUUCCAAAACCCUAGAAAUAGUCAUCGUAGUUGCAUGUAUAAUUUUCUUUAUUAUCAACGGCUUUUGUUGGCUGUUUAUAUGGUACAAACGCAAGCGACAACUCGAGAAUGAAGGAAUUUCAUUGGAUGCACUCAGUCGUUUGAUAAGUGUUCGUAAGUUGAUUUCACUUUUCCACCGUAGCGGCAGAAUAUCAGUCUGGUAUUCUCCCAUGAAUUUUUUUAUUAGGACUUGUGUUUUAAGGUAUAUGUAUAGGCCUAUAUAUGUAUGUAGUAGUCUUUAUUUUUCUCAAUAAAUUGUGAGGUAAACCAUUGAAGGUUGCGGAACACAAAUUUAUUAAGAUAUAACAUACAUUUUAUUAUAUUUCAAUACAUUUGUGUUCCGCAUGUAAACCUUCAAUGAUUGUACAUGGUCUUCUCAUUAUUUUUACAUUUUAUUUUAUUGGAACACACAUGCAAAUCGACUCCUAUAUUUCUCAAAUGAAAGAAAGGUAAAUACAGUGUUCGAAUAAAGGACAGCUCUCAACGAAUGUUGUCCUAGAUAAAAUUCCUCCGACGGGAUUCGAACA